CAGAGAGAAGGGGAUGCAAUUGGACAGAAAUGAAGACUGAAAUGUGGCAGAGAGAGAGAGAGAGAAAGCAAAGAUGAAGACCGGUCAACAGAAAAAGUGAAAAAGGAAGAAAAUGUGUUUUUGGCAGGAGACAGUGCAAAUAAGAGAUGGAAGCAAAGAGAAAUGAAUGACAGAGGAGCAGGGAGGAGAGGAUGGUGAAAGGAAAGAUGGAGAGAGCAGAGGGUCUUAUGAUCCAGAAAUCCACAUCAACACCAUCGCGAUCAGGCCGGAGACACAAGGAGAAUAGUGAGUACUUUAUUAAUACAAAAAGCGUGGAUAUAGAAUGAGGGGAGAACUACUUGGUCUGGAGUUGGCUGAGAUCUGGCGAGGAGGGGGAAGUCCAGAUGGUAGAUCCAACUCGAACCAGGAGACUAGAGUAACACUCACUGUAGACGAGCGACACUCGAACCCAGGAGACGGAGUGGAAGACUCACGGGAGACGGGAGCUCAACGGGGACUGGAGCUGGAGUGAUCACACACGGAAGACUGGAGAUACACUGAGACUGGAGCUGAAGUGAACCACACAGAUGACAGGAACACGAAGGAGCCAGGGAAGAGGUACUGAAUAGCAGUAGCAGAAAAUGG